rnacentral:rRNA from 1 species
GACGAGGGGUCCUAGCGUUGUUCGGAAUCACUGGGCGUAAAGCGUAUGUAGGCGGGUUUCUAAGUCAGGUGUGAAAUCCCAUGGCUCAACCAUGGAAUUGCAUUUGAAACUGGAAGUCUUGAGUGUGGGAGAGAUUGGUAGAAUACCUGGUGUAGUGGUGAAAUGCGCAGAUAUCAGGAGGAACACCGGUGGCGAAGGCGGGUCUCUGGGCCGAUACUGACGCUGAGGAGCGAAAGCGUGGGGAGCGAACAGG